rnacentral:tRNA from 1 species
GUCUCUGUGGCACAAUUGGUUAGCGUUGCUCGGCUGUUAAUCGAAAGGAUGGUGGUUCAAGCUCACCCAGGGACG